rnacentral:rRNA from 1 species
AGCGAACGCUGGCGGCAGGCUUAACACAUGCAAGUCGAGCGGGCCUUUCGGGGUCAGCGGCGGACGGGUGAGUAACGCGUGGGAACGUGCCCUCUGGUUCGGAAUAACUCAGGGAAACUUGAGCUAAUACCGGAUACGCCCUUUUGGGGAAAGGCUUGCUGCCGGAGGAUCGGCCCGCUGCUGAUUAGCUAGUUGGUGAGGUAACGGCUCACCAAGGCGACGAUCAGUAGCUGGUCUGAGAGGAGGAUCAGCCACACUGGGACUGAGACACGGCCCAGACCUGGACGAGGGGCGGAAGUGGGAUAUAGUGAAGAAGGGGGUGUGACGAAGCCCGGCCGUGCCGCGUGAAUUUUAAGGGGGUAGGGAGGGAAAAGCGUUUUUACCCGGGAGUAUUGAGGUGACCCCGAGAAAAAGAACCGGCUAAAAUCGCG